UGCUGACAUUAGACUAGCCGGCACAAAUGUCACUUCUGGAAAGCCAGCUCUAUCUAGAAGUGUUCUCCUUAAGAAGAAAGUAACAUGCGUUCAGCAUUUUAAUCAACUCCUGAAGAAAACAGCCACAACUCUGUUUUCCUACCUGAAGGCUCCUGUAAAGCUUGGACUUCAACUUUAAACCGUGUUCCUUCAGCUGAGAUUUGAUGUGUCCUUGGCAUGUGCCCACCCCAGAACUUCUCACGGGUGAGCAGCACUGUGGUACCUCCAGGCCUUGCAGCAGAGACCACUGAGCUUAGAAGAAGCUGAGUCUCCUUGUGUCUUAUCACAGCUGUAAAGAAUACCUCCCACAAACAAUGCAGGUGGCUUAAAACAAAGGACAUAGGCUCUUCUGCAGUUCCGGGGACUAUUGAAGUCUGAAGUGUCCUGUUAGGACCUACAAGUGCAGGAUGCACGAGGUGAGCCCAGCAUGCCUUUCUGUGCUGUGCUUUUACUAUCAUUGUCCGUUUUCUUUGUUAUUCUAUUCACGAUAGGGAAAGAAGUCUUUACCAGAA
rnacentral:lncRNA from 1 species